rnacentral:rRNA from 1 species
AUUGAACGCUGGCGGCAUGCUUUACACAUGCAAGUCGAACGGUAACAGGGUGCUUGCACCGCUGACGAGUGGCGAACGGGUGAGUAAUGCGUCGGAACGUGCCGAGUAGUGGGGGAUAACGCAGCGAAAGUUGUGCUAAUACCGCAUACGUACUGAGGUAGAAAGUGGGGGACCUUCGGGCCUCACGCUAUUCGAGCGGCCGACGUCUGAUUAGCUAGUAGGUGAGGUAAAGGCUCACCUAGGCGACGAUCAGUAGCGGGUCUGAGAGGAUGAUCCGCCACACUGGGACUGAGACACGGCCCAGACUCCUACGGGAGGCAGCAGUGGGGAAUUUUGGACAAUGGGGGCAACCCUGAUCCAGCCAUUCCGCGUGAGUGAAGAAGGCCUUCGGGUUGUAAAGCUCUUUCGGCAGGAACGAAACGGUGGCCCCUAAUACGGGUUGCUAAUGACGGUACCUGAAGAAGAAGCACCGGCUAACUACGUGCCAGCAGCCGCGGUAA